rnacentral:rRNA from 1 species
AAUCCAUAGGUUAAUGAGGCGAACCGGGGGAACUGAAACAUCUAAGUACCCCGAGGAAAAGAAAUCAACCGAGAUUCCCCCAGUAGCGGCGAGCGAACGGGGAGGAGCCCAGAGCCUGAAUCAGCAUGUGUGUUAGUGGAAGCGUCUGGAAAGGCGCGCGAUACAGGGUGACAGCCCCGUACACAAAAGCGCAUGUGCUGUGAGCUCGAUGAGUAGGGCGGGACACGUGGUAUCCUGUCUGAAUAUGGGGGGACCAUCCUCCAAGGCUAAAUACUCCUGACUGACCGAUAGUGAACCAGUACCGUGAGGGAAAGGCGAAAAGAACCCCGGCGAGGGGAGUGAAAAAGAACCUGAAACCGUGUACGUACAAGCAGUGGGAGCACCCUUUGGGUGUGACUGCGUACCUUUUGUAUAAUGGGUCAGCGACUUAUAUUCUGUAGCAAGGUUAACCGAAUAGGGGAGCCGGAGGGAAACCGAGUCUUAAUUGGGCGUUAAGUUGCAGGGUAUAGACCCGAAACCCGGUGAUCUAGCCAUGGGCAGGUUGAAGGUUGGGUAACACUAACUGGAGGACCGAACCGACUAAUGUUGAAAAAUUAGCGGAUGACCUGUGGCUGGGGGUGAAAGGCCAAUCAAACCGGGAGAUAGCUGGUUCUCCCCGAAAGCUAUUUAGGUAGCGCCUCGUGAAUUCAUCUCCGGGGGUAGAGCACUGUUUCGGCUAGGGGGCCAUCCCGGCUUACCAACCCGAUGCAAACUGCGAAUACCGGAGAAUGUUAUCACGGGAGACACACGGCGGGUGCUAACGUCCGUCGUGAAGAGGGAAACAACCCAGACCGCCAGCUAAGGUCCCAAAGUCAUGGUUAAGUGGGAAACGAUGUGGGAAGGCCCAGACAGCCAGGAUGUUGGCUUAGAAGCAGCCAUCAUUUAAAGAAAGCGUAAUAGCUCACUGGUCGAGUCGGCCUGCGCGGAAGAUGUAACGGGGCUAAACCAUGCACCGAAGCUGCGGCAGCGACACUGUGUGUUGUUGG